CACUUGUACCUGGUGUGAUUAUAAAGCAAUGAGACUGAUUGUCAUUUGUCUUUUGUGGGAUCCGUCUCAGUUACUUUAUAGCCAGACCUGGUAUCUUA
rnacentral:pre_miRNA from 3 species